AUGCAGGACAGAGACAUGAUGGAUAACAUGUGGAGACAUGUGAAGGUUUGAAAGGAUGCAGCAGCAGCUGGUGGAGAUCUGUGGAUGGAGUCACGUGUUUGGAUUUACAUCAUGUGGACUGGACAUGUAAGCUGGAACUGAAGACGCCUCUUGGAUGACAAGUGAAACGUCUUCAAGAAACUCAAGCAAGUCCAGCUGCCUACCUGUUUCACCUGUUCUGUUUUAUAUUCAGGACUGUUGUCAGCCACUCAUGAUGUUUGUCACAGACUUUUUAUGGACUCUAAAAUACUACAUUAACAACGGGGAUUUCCAGACGUGGGCAGGAAGAGGACGGAGCUGAAAUAUAAAUCUCCCUUUCAUCAUAUAUUUAAGGACCAUUUCACAUAGAUGGAGCCUUUUCUCUCCAUAAUGGUGCAUGUCUUCAGCCUGGAGGAUCAGGAAGGAUACCAGGUAUAUAAUAUCGUCAGAAGUUUUGGGGCCCAAAACCAUUUUUUUGUUGCUGCUGCUCGGCCUGUGUUUGUAUCACCAGGUGAAGCAUUACAGUAAAUACAGUGUCUGUCUAUGACCCUCUAA